CCAAAGAGGAACCAGUUCUACUUAGAAAUUGUCUCCUGGGGGAGUUUUCAGCAAGCCCUCAUCUUUGGAAGGGGGAUUUGUUGCAGACUGGGAGACGUGCAUUCUGUUUGCAAGCUGACAAAGUCUGUUCUACAUUCUGCUCCCAGCUACGUGACCAGGUUGUCUCUGUGCUAGGAAAAGAAAGCCACAAAAAUCCGACUCAACAGCAGCAUGUAGGCUCAGUGCUCAAAGAGUUGAUAAAAACUUUUGGAUGUUAGCUUACCACCUUCUUCAACCCAGCAGUUUCAAGCCAGUGAUAUUUCAAAGCAAUUCAAGGGCUCUUUUUUCCAAUGAAUAGUGCUUAAAAAAUAGCAGGCUGAAAUGAGGAUCAUAACAGUACUGUAACUAUUAUUAGGAAAUCAUCAUCUGGGAAAGUCCUCGGAGAUAUCGUGGGGCUGUUUUGUGUUGUUCCCCAAUAAAGAGCAGAAGACACCUGCCAUUUAGUUAAGUGCCUAAUCUUGGCCUAUUUUAGAACCUCAUUUCAGAUGAAAGUCUAUAUGCUAAUCAAAACAAAAUACUAUCAACCGUGGUCCAGAUGUGAGUGAUAGCUUUAAAAAAGCACUUUAAAAUGCUUGCAAUUUGUAUUUUUGUGUUAAGUCAGCUUAUAAUUCAUGAAAUAAAAA